ACUUAAGCAUUGAAGAAGAGUAGUAUUCUAAUUGAACUCAUAAGAGAGCUGAUGGCUGGUGAGAAUCAGUGUGAUUCAUUAGAAGAAUGGACUUCUGAGCUUCCAAACCGAACCAUAAUUGCAGUAGGCUUUGGCGAAUUCGUCUUAUCGUUACCUGAGACAGAUAGGCAGCAGUUUUAGCUUCCUAUUGUCAAAGUGAGCUGUAUUUAGCUAAUAAAGGUGGUACCACGGUCCCCUCGUCCUUUUU
rnacentral:ncRNA from 1 species